UGCCAGCCGCCGCGGUAAUACGAAGGGACCUAGCGUAGUUCGGAAUUACUGGGCUUAAAGAGUUCGUAGGUGGUUAAAAAAGUUGGUGGUGAAAUCCCAGAGCUCAACUCUGGAACUGCCAUCAAAACUUUUUAGCUAGAGUAUGAUAGAGGAAAGCAGAAUUUCUAGUGUAGAGGUGAAAUUCGUAGAUAUUAGAAAGAAUACCGAUUGCGAAGGCAGCUUACUAACAAUUAACUGACUCUGAGGUACGAAAGCGUGGGGAGCAAACAGGAUUAGAUA
rnacentral:rRNA from 1 species